rnacentral:misc_RNA from 1 species
AAGUCGUAACAAGGUCUCCGUUGGUGAACCAGCGGAGGGAUCAUUACCGAGUUUACAACUCCCAAACCCAUGUGAACCUUACCAUUGUUGCUUCGGCGGGAUCGCCCCGGGAGCGGCCGCGAGGCCAGCCCCGAGAGCCCGCCGAGGGACCCAGACUCGAGCUUUUUGUUAGCGGAUUUAUCUGAGUGGCUCUUAAGCAAAACAAAUGAAUCAAAACUUUCAACAACGGAUCUCUUGGUUCUG